UUAAGUAAAAGCUUAGAGCAUUUUGCCUUCCAAGCAAAAAAUUAAAUUUACUAUUA
rnacentral:tRNA from 1 species